UACGUAGGGUGCAAGCGUUGUCCGGAAUUAUUGGGCGUAAAGAGCUCGUAGGCGGUCUGUCGCGUCGAAUGUGAAAACCCGGGGCUCAACCCCGGGCCUGCAUUCGAUACGGGCAGACUAGAGUUCGGUAGGGGAGUCUGGAAUUCCUGGUGUAGCGGUGAAAUGCGCAGAUAUCAGGAGGAACACCGGUGGCGAAGGCGGGUCUCUGGGCAAUAACUGACGCUGAGGAGCGAAAGCGUGGGGAGCGAACAGG
rnacentral:rRNA from 1 species